UACAGAGGGGGCCAGCGUUAUUCGGAAUUAUUGGGCGUAAAGGGCGCGUAGGCGGCCAUGCGUGUCUUCCGUGAAAUCCCUCGGCUUAACUGAGGACGUGCGGAAGAAACUGCAAGGCUCGAGUCCGGGAGAGGGGGGUGGAAUUCCCAGUGUAGCGGUGAAAUGCGUAGAUAUUGGGAGGAACACCGGUGGCGAAGGCGGCCCCCUGGACCGGUACUGACGCUGAGGCGCGAAAGCGUGGGUAGCAAACGGGAUUAGAUACCCCGGUAGUCCACGCCGUAAACGAUGGGCACUUGGUGUCGCGGGUAUCGACCCCUGCGGUGCCGAAGCUAACGCAUUAAGUGCCCCGCCUGGGGAGUACGGUCGCAAGGCUGAA
rnacentral:rRNA from 1 species